rnacentral:rRNA from 1 species
CGAUCGUCGUCCGCGCGAACGGUAGUUCUUUCGUUUACUGAGAAAGACGUUGUGGAAUUUUUCAGACCAAAAGAAAUUGUGCUCCGCACGGUGGAUCUCUGGGCUCGCGCAUCGAUGAAGAACGCAGCCAACUGCGAGAAACGUAGUGUGAAUUGCAGAUCGAAUCGUCGACUCUUUGAACGCAAAUGGCGCUCGUCGCUUCGAGCGGCGAGCAUGGCCGGUCGAGAGUCCGUUCCCCCGUCGUACCGAGACACCCCACCCGUCCGGUGAGUUGGAGCCGUCGCGGCCCGCCGUCCGUCUUUUGCGCCGACUUGGCGGCGGAAGAGACCUCGGCCGCGUCCUCCGAAGUGCAGAAACGAAGCCAUCGUCCCGAGGAGAAACGCGCGGACGAAGGUGUGUGUGUGUGGA